ACUCCUACGGGAGGCAGCAGAUUGGGCCGGUACUGACGCUCAGGCACGAAAGCAUGGGGAUCAAACAGGAUUAGAUACCCUGGUAGUCCAUGCCCUAAACGAUGUACACUUGAUAUCUGCCCUUAGGGUAGGUGUCGUAGCUAACGCGUUAAGUGUACCACCUGGGGAGUACGCUCGCAAGGGUGAAACUUAAAGGAAUUGACGGACUCCUACGGGAGGCAGCAGAUUGGGCCGGUACUGACGCUCAGGCACGAAAGCAUGGGGAUCAAACAGGAUUAGAUACCCUGGUAGUCCAUGCCCUAAACGAUGUACAUUUGAUGUCGGCCCUCAGGGUCGGCGUCGGAGCUAACGCGUUAAAUGUACCACCUGGGGAGUACGCUCGCAAGGGUGAAACUCAGAGGAAUUGACG
rnacentral:rRNA from 1 species